GAUGAACGCUAGCGAUAGGCUUAACACAUGCGAGUCGAGGGGCAGCACAAGGUAGCUUGCUAUCUGGGUGGCGACCGGCGCACGGGUGCGUAACGCGUAUGCAACUUGCCCUAUACAGGAGGAUAACCCGUCGAAAGACGGACUAAUACUGCGUAUGCUCACAACUUGGCAUCAAGUGGUGAGGAAAGAAAUUCGGUAUAGGAUAGGCUUGCGUCCCAUUAGCUUGUUGGUGAGGUAACGGCUCACCAAGGCAACGAUGGGUAGGGGAACUGAGAGGUUUAUCCCCCACACUGGUACUGAGACACGGACCAGACUCCUACGGGAGGCAGCAGUGAGGAAUAUUGGUCAAUGGGCGCGAGCCUGAACCAGCCAAGUCGCGUGAAGGAUGACUGUCUUAUGGAUUGUAAACUUCUUUUAUACGGGAAUAACAAGAGUCACGUGUGACUCCCUGCAUGUACCGUAUGAAUAAGCAUCGGCUAACUCCGUG
rnacentral:rRNA from 1 species